CAGUCGCCACGGUAAUACGUAGGGUGCAAGCGUUAAUCGGAAUUACUGGGCGUAAAGCGUGCGCAGGCGGUUCACUAAGACAGAUGUGAAAUCCCCGGGCUUAACCUGGGAACUGCAUUUGUGACUGGCGGGCUAGAGUAUGGCAGAGGGGGGUAGAAUUCCACGUGUAGCAGUGAAAUGCGUAGAGAUGUGGAGGAAUACCGAUGGCGAAGGCAGCCCCCUGGGCCAAUACUGACGCUCAUGCACGAAAGCGUGGGGAGCAAACAGGAUUAGAUACCCCUGUAGUCCCUGUCUCUUAUAC
rnacentral:rRNA from 1 species